GAUGAACGCUAGCGGCAGGCCUAACACAUGCAAGUCGAGGGGCAGCGGGGAGUAGCAAUACUUUGCCGGCGACCGGCGCACGGGUGCGUAACGCGUAUGUGACCUACCUAUAACAGGGGGAUAACCCAGAGAAAUUUGGACUAAUACCCCAUAUUAUUAUUGAGCUGCAUGGUUUGAUAAUGAAAGACGCGAGUUGGUUAUAGAUGGGCAUGCGUGACAUUAGCUAGUUGGUAAGGUAACGGCUUACCAAGGCUACGAUGUCUAGGGGAACUGAGAAGUUAAUCCCCCACACUGGUACUGAGACACGGACCAGACUCCUACGGGAGGCAGCAGUGAGGAAUAUUGGUCAAUGGUCGGAAGACUGAACCAGCCAUGCCGCGUGAAGGAAGAAUGUCCUAUGGAUUGUAAACUUCUUUUGUAAGGGAGCAAUAAGUCUCAUGCGUGGGAUGAUGAGAGUACCUUACGAAUAAGCAUCGGCUAACU
rnacentral:rRNA from 1 species